CCCUACGGGGGGCAGGUAUGGUGCUCAUCUGACCGUCUCUGAUCACAUCCGCCUCUGGGGCCACCAUCUCCCUCAGCGCCUCCAUAGCCUUCUCUGCCUUGUACUCCUGGACGAAGCCGAUGAUGGCAACUAAAACGACGAUCCCCAAAAUGACAUAGGCAUUGGUGGUCUCUCCGGCAAUAAAAGAGAUGAUAGCGGCAAAGAUCAGCACCAGGACCAUGUAGUCUUUGAACUUGCCUAUGAAUAUUUUCAAUGGCGAGGGUUUGGUAGUGCUUUCAAGCUGAUUGGGGCCGUGCUGGGAGAGC
rnacentral:rRNA from 1 species